CACUCCUGCGGGAGGCAGCAGUAGGGAAUCUUCCACAAUGGGUGCAAACCUGAUGGAGCAAUGCCGCGUGAGUGAAGAAGGUCUUCGGAUCGUAAAGCUCUGUUGUUAGAGAAGAACACGUGCUAGGUAACUACUAGCGCCUUGACGGUAUCUAACCAGAAAGUCACGGCUAACUACGUGCCAGCAGCCGCGGUAAUACGUAGGUGACAAGCGUUGUCCGGAUUUAUUGGGCGUAAAGGGAGCGCAGGCGGUCUGUUUAGUCUAAUGUGAAAGCCCACGGCUUAACCGUGGAACGGCAUUGGAAACUGACAGACUUGAAUGUAGAAGAGGAAAAUGGAAUUCCAAGUGUAGCGGUGGAAUGCGUAGAUAUUUGGAGGAACACCAGUGGCGAAGGCGAUUUUCUGGUCUAACAUUGACGCUGAGGCUCGAAAGCGUGGGGAGCGAACAGGAUUAGAAACCCCUGUAGUCCCA
rnacentral:rRNA from 1 species